UACGUAGGGCGCAAGCGUUGUCCGGAAUCAUUGGGCGUAAAGAGCUCGUAGGCGGCCUGUUGCGUCCGCUGUGAAAUCCCGGGGCUUAACCCCGGGCGUGCAGUGGAUACGGGCUGGCUGGAGGCAGGCAGGGGAGAACGGAAUUCCCGGUGUAGCGGUGGAAUGCGCAGAUAUCAGGAGGAACACCGGUGGCGAAGGCGGGUCUCUGGGCAGUAACUGACGCUGAGGAGCGAAAGCGUGGGGAGCGAACAGG
rnacentral:rRNA from 1 species